rnacentral:rRNA from 1 species
UGGGGAAUUUUGCACAAUGGGCGGAAGCCUGAUGCAGCGACGCCGUGUGGGGGAUGAAGGCCUUCGGGUUGUAAACUCCUUUCGUCAGGGACGAAGUUUGUUUGACGGUACCUGGAUAAGAAGCACCGGCUAACUACGUGCCAGCAGCCGCGGUAAUACGUAGGGUGCGAGCGUUGUCCGGAUUUACUGGGCGUAAAGGGCUCGUAGGUGGUGUGUUGCGUCGUCUGUGUAAUCCAGGGGCUUAACUUUUGGUUGGCAGGCGAUACGGGCAUUGCUUGAGUGCUGUAGGGGAGACUGGAAUUCCGGGUGUAGCGGUGAAAUGCGCAGAUAUCAGGAGGAACACCGAUGGCGAAGGCAGGUCUCUGGGCAGUUACUGACGCUGAGGAGCGAGAGCAUGGGUAGCGAACAGG